GAUGAAGAACGCAGCGAAAUGCGAUACGUAAUGUGAAUUGCAGAAUUUAGUGAAUCAUCGAAUCUUUGAACGCACAUUGCGCCUGCCAGCACUCUGGCAGGCAUGCCUGUUCGAGCGUCAUUUCAACCAUCAAGCCCUAGGCUUGCGUUGGAGCCCUGCGGCUGCCGCAGGCCCCUAAAAGCAGUGGCGGGCUCGCUAUCACACCGAGUGCAGUAGAUUACUCUUCGCUCAGGGCGUGUGGCGGGUUCCAGCCGUGAAACCCCCUACUUCUCAAGGUUGACCUCGGAUCAGGUAGGAAUACCCGCUGAACUUAAGCAUAUCAAUAAGCGGAGGA
rnacentral:misc_RNA from 1 species